rnacentral:rRNA from 1 species
GAGGCAUGCAAGUCGAGCGAGAAAGCACCUUCGGGUGUGAGUACAGCGGCGGACGGGUGAGUAACACGUAAUCAAGCUGCCCUUGAGCCUGGGAUAACAGGGGGAAACCCUUGCUAAUACCGGAUGGUCUUUCCGGGUCGAUUGGCCUGGAGAGUAAAGGUGGGGAUCCUACGGGACCUUCCGCUUGAGGAGGCGAUUGCGGCCUAUCAGCUAGUUGGUGAGGUAAUGGCUCACCAAGGCGACGACGGGUAGCAGGCCUGAGAGGGUGGUCUGCCACACUGGGACUGAGACACUGCCCAGACUCCUACGGGAGGCUGCAGUCGAGAAUCUUCCGCAAUGGGCGAAAGCCUGACGGAGCGACGCCGCGUGGAGGAGAAGGCCUUAGGGUUGUAAACUCCUGUCACGAAUUAUGAAUGGUGCGUGGUAAACAGUCACGUAUUUGACGUAAGUUCGAGAGGAAGCACCGGCUAACUCUGUGCCAGCAGCCCGCGGUAAUACAGAGGGUGCAAACGUUGUUCGGAAUCACUGGGCAUAAAGCGCACGUAGGCGGCUUUUCAAGUGCAGAGUGAAAUCCCACAGCUCACCUGUGGAACUGCUUUGCAUACUGGAUAGCUCGAGGACGGUAGAG